rnacentral:lncRNA from 1 species
AUGCCCGCAGUAGGCGUUCGGCAGACCUCCGGGAGCCAGGGGGCCGGGCUCCUGGAGCCAUCGACAGCCCCUUCUCGUCCUCUCUGCUCCGUGCCCUCUCCAGCCCCCUUCACUCUGGCCGAACCCGGCGGCGGCCCCAGCUUCCGGCCCCGCUCUCCGCUCAGCAGCUUCCAGCAGCAACAGUUGGCGGGUCCCGCAGCCCAGACUCCCGCGUCCCCGCACCGCCCCCUCCCCCGAGGUGCCGCGGCGCCAGGCAAAGAAGGAGCUGGAGGGCUCGGCGACCCGGAGACAACGUCUUGGGCGCCUCGCCCGCGUCCUUCCCUCGCGUCUGCCGCGCGCGCCUGUCACCUCGGCCUCUCUUCCUCGCCUCCACUCCGCCCGCCCGGGGCCAAACCCCAGGCCUGGUCCCCGAGGGUCCCUGUCCCCUGGCUGUCCCCUCCUUGGGCUCCCUGCGCCGGCCAGACUCUCCCCGGUGUCCCGCGUCUGUCUCCGCCGUCCUUGCCCGUGCCGGCGCCGGAGCCCAACCCCAAGUUGGCGGCGAAGUUGGCGCCCCCGGCUCGCUGCCCGCCACUCACCGGGGGGAAGGGGCGCUGCGCCCGCGCCCAGAGCCCGCGCCGGCCGCCUCCCGCGCAACGCAUGUCCCGGCGCCCCGCUCCGCGCUCUGGCGCGUCUGUCCUAGCUUGGCGGGCGCCUGAGGCCAGGCGCCGCGGGGCCGGUGCCCGUGGCGCGGCCUGGAGAGCUGAGCAGGGCCCGCCCCCGCGCCCAGCGCCCCCCUCGUGGCCGGGUGCGCGCCCGGCUCCGUCCGGGGCUGGGCUGCGCGCCGCGCCACCGGCUCCCGGGGCUCGCCAGCCGGCUGUGGCGGAGCGCACGGCGCCGCCCGCGUGGCCCGCCCCACCGGGGACCGCCGCCCCCGCCCCGGCCCCGCCCCAGCCGGCCCACCCCGCCGCCGGCACCCGCGCUCCUCCAGGCCCCUCCUUGCUGGCCCGCUCGCCAGACGCCUGA